AAACCCCACCACCAUAUGGGCGGCACAUAAGACGGUCAUACGGGGACACAUUAUUAAAGCAGCCACGCAUAAAGAAACAACAAACAACCACCCGAUUACUGGAACUACAGACGGCCCUUAAAAAAGCGGAGCUCCAGCAUAAGGCAAACCACACAGGACCGUAAUUAACUGAACUUAACACUCUCAGACCCUCCCUAAAAUAAAUCUUGCUAGGGGCGUGGCCUGGUCCAUCUUAUGGUCUAGA